AUUGAACGCUGGCGGCAGGCCUAACACAUGCAAGUCGAGCGAGCGGCGGACGGGUGAGUAAUGUGUGGGUCUCUGCCUGAUGGGGGGGGAUAACUACUGGAAACGGUAGCUAAUACCGCAUACCAUCAGAUGACCCCAGAUGGGAUUAGCUUGUGGGUGGGGGAACGGCUCACCGAGGCGACGAUCCCUAGCUGGUCUGAGAGGAUGAACAGCCACACUGGGACUGAGACACGGUCCAGACGCCUACGGGAGGCAGCAGUGGGGAAUAUUGCACAAUGGGCGCAAGCCUGAUGCAGCCAUGCCGCGUGUAUGAAGAAGGCCUUCGGGUUGUAAAGUACUUUCAGCCGGGAGGCGUUACCGGCAGAAGAAGCACCGGCUAACUCCGUGCCAGCAGCCGCGGUAAUUC
rnacentral:rRNA from 1 species